CCUACGGGAGGCUGCAGUGGGGAAUCUUCGGCAAUGGGCGAAAGCCUGACCGAGCGAUGCCGCGUGCGGGAUGAAGGCCCUCGGGUUGUAAACCGCUGUCGUAGGGGAGGAAGGUUCCGUGAAGAGCGGAAUUUGACCUAUCCUAGGAGGAAGUACGGGCUAAGUUCGUGCCAGCAGCCGCGGUAACACGAACCGUACGAACGUUAUUCGGAAUUACUGGGCUUAAAGGGUUUGUAGGCGGCCUUGUAAGUCAGGUGUGAAAGCCCUCGGCUCAACCGAGGAACAGCGCUUGAUACUGCAAGGCUUGAGGGAGACAGGGGUAAGCGGAACUGAUGGUGGAGCGGUGAAAUGCGUUGAUAUCAUCAGGAACACCGGUGGCGAAAGCGGCUUACUGGGUCUCUUCUGACGCUGAGGCACGAAAGCUAGGGUAGCGAACGGGAUUAGAUACCCUGGUAGUC
rnacentral:rRNA from 1 species